UACAGAGGGUGCGAGCGUUAAUCGGAAUUACUGGGCGUAAAGCGUGCGUAGGCGGUUAUUUUAGUCGGGUGUGAAAGCCCCGGGCUCAACCUGGGAAUUGCAUUCGAGACUGAAUAGCUAGGGUACGGUAGAGGGAAGCGGAAUUUCCGGUGUAGCGGUGAAAUGCGUAGAUAUCGGAAGGAACAUCAGUGGCGAAAGCGGCUUCCUGGACCAGUACCGACGUUCAGGCACGAAAGCGUGGGGAGCAAACAGG
rnacentral:rRNA from 1 species